CCGGCACGGGUGAGUAACACGUAUGCAAUCCACCUGUAACAGGGGGAUAACCCGGAGAAAUCCGGACUAAUACCCCAUAAUAUGGGCGCUCCGCAUGGAGAGUUCAUUAAAGAGAGCAAUUUUGGUUACAGACGAGCAUGCGCUCCAUUAGCCAGUUGGCGGGGUAACGGCCCACCAAGGCGACGAUGGAUAGGGGUUCUGAGAGGAAGGUCUCCCACAUUGGAACUGAGACACGGUCCAA
rnacentral:rRNA from 1 species